rnacentral:rRNA from 1 species
GAUGAACGCUAGCUACAGGCUUAACACAUGCAAGUCGAGGGGCAGCAUAUAGAUAGCUUGCUAUUUAUGAUGGCGACCGGCGCACGGGUGAGUAACGCGUAUCCAACCUGCCCAUGGGUCAGGGAUAAACUCCCGAAAGGGAGCCCAAUACCUGAUGUUGUGAGAAGAAGGCCUCUGAUUUUCACGAAAGACUUCGGUCGCCGAUGGAUGGGGAUGCGUACGAUUAGGCAGCAGGCGGGGUAACGGCCCACCUGGCCAACGAUCGUUAGGGGUUCUGAGAGGAAGGUCCCCCACACUGGUACUGAGACACGGACCAGACUCC